AUGGAGGCGGAUGACUGGGAGGAGUUACAGUUGAAAGUAGCCGGGACUAUACGGUUGUGUCUGUCGGACCAGGUUAUUUACCAUGUGAUGGAUGAGAAUUCGCCGAAGAAGAUCUGGAAGAAGCUGGAAAGUCAGUUUAUGUCCAAGACUGCGACGACCAAGGCGUAUCUGAAGCAAAAGUUGUAUGGGAUGAGGAUGCAGGAGGGG
rnacentral:rRNA from 1 species